GGAUGUGAGGGCGAUCUGGCUGCGACAUCUGUCACCCCAUUGAUCGCCAGGGUUGAUUCGGCUGAUCUGGCUGGCUAGGCGGGUGUCCCCUUCCUCCCUCACCGCUCCAUGUGCAUCCCUCCCGAAGCUGCGCGCUCGGUCGAAGAGGACGACCUUCCCCGAUAGAGGAGAGGACCGUUCUUCGGUCAAGGGUAUACGAGUAGCUGCGCUCCCCUGCUAGAACCUCCAAACAAGCGCUCAAGAAUAUGGAGCCCAUAAAUAUCCUACACAUCUAUGAUCAAUUU
ensembl:misc_RNA 7SK 7SK RNA